rnacentral:rRNA from 1 species
UGGGGAAUCUUCCGCAAUGGACGAAAGUCUGACGGAGCAACGCCGCGUGAGUGAUGACGGCCUUCGGGUUGUAAAGCUCUGUUAAUCGGGACGAAUGGUUCUUGUGCGAAUAGUGCGAGGAUUUGACGGUACCGGAAUAGAAAGCCACGGCUAACUACGUGCCAGCAGCCGCGGUAAUACGUAGGUGGCAAGCGUUGUCCGGAAUUAUUGGGCGUAAAGCGCGCGCAGGCGGAUUGGUCAGUCUGUCUUAAAAGUUCGGGGCUUAACCCCGUGAUGGGACGGAAACUGCCAAUCUAGAGUAUCGGAGAGGAAAGUGGAAUUCCUAGUGUAGCGGUGAAAUGCGUAGAUAUUAGGAAGAACACCAGUGGCGAAGGCGACUUUCUGGACGAAAACUGACGCUGAGGCGCGAAAGCCAGGGGAGCGAACGGG